rnacentral:rRNA from 1 species
GAUGAACGCUAGCUCCAGGCUUAACACAUGCAAGUCGAGGGACCGGCGCACGGGUGAGUAACACGUAUCCAACCUGCCCUUUACUCGGGGAUAGCCUUUCGAAAGAAAGAUUAAUACCCGAUAUAAAGGAUGGGGAUGCGUUCCAUUAGUUUGUUGGUAAGGUACCGGCUCACCAAGCCUUCGAUGGAUAGGGGUUCUGAGAGGAAGGUCCCCCGCAUUGGAACUGAGGAUCAGUCAACAAUCGUACAGUAGGGAGCAGAGAGGAAUAUUGGUAAAUGGGCGCUAGCCGGACCCAGCCAAGUAGCGUGAAGGAUGAAGGCUUAUGGGUCGUAAACUUCUUUUAUAUAAGAAUAUGUAUUAUAUGAAUAAGGAUCGGCUAACUCCGUGCCAGCAGCCGCGGUAAUAC